rnacentral:rRNA from 1 species
GCGUAGGCGGCCUACCAAGUCCGAUGUGAAAUCUCCCGGCUCAACUGGGAGGGUGCAUUAGAAACUGGUAAGCUAGAGUGCAGCAGAGGAAAGUGGAAUUCCCGGUGUAGUGGUAAAAUGCGUAGAUAUCGGGAGGAACACUAGUGGCGAAGGCGGCUUUCUGGGCUGCAACUGACGCUGAGGUCCGAAGGCGUGGGUAGCAAACA